GAUGCAGGUGGGAUGCGGGGAUCGACACGAGGUGGAUACAGGUGGGAUGCAGAGCAGGAUGCCAGGCAGAUACAGGUGGGAUACAGGUGGGAUACAGGGCGGGAUACAGGCGGAAUGCAGGGAGAGAUGCAGGUGGGAUGCGGGUGGGAUGCAGAGCAGGAUACGGGGCGGAUGCAGGUGGGAUGCGG